UACAGCUGAUCCGGGCCUCUGGUCCUGUUGCUGCCUUUCCAUAUUAAAUAAAGCUAACAGAAUUGACAAUGGAGAAAGCCAGUGGUGGGCUUAGCCAGCUACACCCCAGGACCACAGUCUUAAGGCCGGGAUGGUGAGCUGCCUGCCUUGCCAGGGUGUAUAUGCAUGCUGUGCUUAUCAGUGAUGCCCUUAUGGUCUGCUUGGGUAUGAUAUCAUCUUAAUUUUGAAGACUGUGCUCUUAGCCUCACAGCUGGGCACCCCAAUACACAAUGACACUUGCAUGCCAACCCCUUCCUAUUUAAUCGCUGCUAUUCCAGCGUCAGAUACUGUCUACACCAGCAGAUUCUGAACUACAACUUCAGUACCUGACACCUAUUAAAGAAACCCAAGUCUACGAAGCCUUUGCACUCUGUAUGAGAGGAACAGUUGAGGCUGAAGGGAUACUGAGCUCACUGUCAGUUGCACCUUUGUUGAGUACUGCCUGCCAAUUGCUUCCUGGGAAUAAAGAAAAGUGUCCUUCUGUAUGUUUGGAUUUUUCACAUAGUAAGUUUGGAAAUUCAAAUGUUGAUAGUGCAUGGAUUCUGUCACCCAGGUCCAAAGAUCAUAAUUUUUCUACAGCCUCCUCUUAUCUGCCCCAAUUCAAAUUCUCGAUGUUCUCUUAUAGCUUAUUUUCCUGAGUCAUUAUCUUUGGGUGAAUAUAAUAAUGAAAUUCAGAAGCAAAAUGUCGGCUAGGUAUUUUGUAGGUAUGCAUUUCACCUUUAUAUGAAAGCCAGCAUAUCUGAACUAAACGAGCAGCUUCUCAGCUUCCUCAUUCUACAUGUUUCUCCGUGUGUGCAACUUGACAAUGUUAUUGACUAUGCGAUUAUGGUGAUGUAAUGUGCAAACUUCAUAUGUGCAGUUUCUUGAUCAUUGGACAUUAUUAGUCCCCUAUCAGGAACAGAACUUGCACAUGUAACAUGUAUUUAUUUUUAAUCACAAAGGAUGUAUUUCUCAAAAUAGCACUUUUGGAGCAGGGGAGAGGGAAACUGCCGUGCUCUAUUCCCCUCCAUGGGAUAUGCAUAUGCCUGAGGUAUAUAGAACAUUUAGCUAGUUAAUGGGCAUGUUAAUAAAAAGCAUUCUGAUGCAAAAUUCAUUUUCAAAAUGAAAAUAUUUAUCCUUCCCCAAAGUAAGAUUGCAAAAUCCAGUGACUAGAGCACCACAGUUAUGUAGAAUAUUUCCAUGUGAAGGCCUAACAAACUUGAAAACCUAUGAGGCUGAGCCAGGUUCCUAGAAAGACUUCAUAGCGAUGUCUCUUUCCGAGGUGAGCUACAGAGGCAUAGCUUACUUCUGGUUCCUGGAUAUUCCUACUCAGUUCAAAAUAAGCAUACAGAAAUCGCCUGGUACCUGUGGUGCUUUAUAAUGUAGUCAGAAAUGUUGUUUUUUAAAGUACACAAUGCUGCAAGCCUGUUUCCUUUACAAACACUCGCACAAUUUCAAAAGAGGGAUUUGCUGUGGCCAGUCUCCCUGCUUCUCCAGGUGGGCUGUGAUGCUGAAGCCAAGCUUAGCCCUGUAUGGUCCUAGUCUGGUGUAGAAGCUCAGCGUCCUAAUAGCUGCCUGGGGACACCUACCCCACCGAACACACACAGCUCAGACUCCAGUCCAUCUGUGUUCCCCGAGAACAAUGUGAAGAGUCCUGGAACAGAACUCAUCAACUGUCAGGGGCCUAUAUAGCCAAAAUGUCACUGUAAGAAUUGUGUUGCCUCCUGCUCUCAUGUUUGUCACAGUUAGGCAAGCAAACGGCAUUUCUACUAUAAUUUAAAGGAGCUGCUUUUUUUAAAUAGCAUACAGUAUUUAGCUUUGAACUAUAUUUUAUAGUUACAAAAUAAUCUAGACUGUAGAGAGAAUCUGUUGUGUUUAUACUGUUCACGAAUGUUCCAGCAAAGUGCUUUGCCUGGUUCCUCUCACUUCCUGGCUCUGCUGUAUUCCCUCCUUGCUUUGCAGAAAUCCGAUCUCAUUUAUGUUUUCAGUACCAUUUAUUUUUUAAAACGUGUUCGUGUGUAUUGUUCCUUCUUUGGGUCAGUAUUCUACAUGUUUACAUCUGUUUGACAUUAGCCGUGUAAUGCCUUUUUUUUUUCAAAGGCGGAAUUUACUCCUCCAGCAUGACAGCAAAAUGUGAAGUCGACCAGAGCACACCACACAGGGCACACACAGACUGGGGGCCAAGGCCCUGAUUGUACACAGACAUUUCCUAUCAGCAUAGAGAAAAGUGAAACCCUCCUUCAGUCCUCUACCAAAGAAUAUAUUAUUCCCACAGGAAAAACUCAGAAAGGUGUGUAAAACCCUCAGGAGGAGGUGCAGUUGAUCCAUGAGACUGCUACAACAGAAUAGCGGUAUGCUUGCUUUGAUACCUGACUAAAUGUGACUGGCUGCAACAAGCAUUUCAAAAGAAAGUUUUAGGCAGUGUUUGGUUUAGAAUUCAGGGAUCAUGCAUUCUUUAAUGGUGCUGUUUGUUUUUUUUAUUUCUUCUUUUCUAUAAAGAAUAAAAAGUGUUGCCUACAAAAGUGACUGCUCAUGAUGAUGUAAGUGAAAUGGAACGUCCGUCUCUAUGUUUCUAUGUUUCUCCCUUUCUCCAAGUAAGAAUUUGGUUUCAGUAUCAAAAUAUUCUGGAGAAAAUAAAGAAAUGAAAACAC
rnacentral:lncRNA from 1 species